rnacentral:rRNA from 1 species
GUGGGGAAUAUUGGACAAUGGGCGAAAGCCUGAUCCAGCCAUGCCGCGUGAGUGAUGAAGGCUUUAGGGUUGUAAAGCUCUUUCGCCGAUGAAGAUAAUGACGGUAGUCGGAGAAGAAGCCCCGGCUAACUUCGUGCCAGCAGCCGCGGUAAUACGAAGGGGGCUAGCGUUGUUCGGAAUUACUGGGCGUAAAGCGCACGUAGGCUGUGCCGUAAGUCAGGGGUGAAAUCCCAGAGCUCAACUCUGGAACUGCCUUUGAAACUACGGUGCUAGAAUCUCAGAGGGGGUAGCGGAAUUCCAAAUGUAGGGGUGAAAUCCGUAGAUAUUUGGAGGAACACCGGUGGCGAAGGCGGCUACCUGGAUGAGUAUUGACGCUGAGGUGCGAAAGCGUGGGGAUCAAACAGGAUUAGAAACCCUAGUAGUCC